AAGAACCCGGUGACAGGUGCUGCAUGGCUGUCGUCAGCUCGUGUCGUGAGAUGUUGGGUUAAGUCCCGCAACGAGCGCAACCCUCGCCUUUAGUUGCCAGCAUUCAGUUGGGCACUCUAGAGGGACUGCCGGUGUCAAACCGGAGGAAGGUGGGGAUGACGUCAAGUCCUCAUGGCCUUUAUGUCUAGGGCUACACACGUACUACAAUGGCCGGUACAAAGGGCAGCCACUCAGCGAUGAGGCGCUAAUCCCAUAAAGCCGGUCUCAGUCCGGAUCGCAGUCUGCAACUCGACUGCGUGAAGUUGGAAUCGCUAGUAAUCGUAGAUCAGCAUGCUACGGUGAAUACGUUCCCGGGCCUU
rnacentral:rRNA from 1 species